rnacentral:rRNA from 1 species
GGGGACUCCGAGUGUGAGGGCAUAUAGCCCUCGCUUUUCUGUACCGUAAGGUGGUACAGGAACAAGGACUGGGCAAGACCGGUGCCAGCCGCCGCGGUAAUACCGGCAGUCCAAGUGAUGGCCGAUAUUAUUGGGCCUAAAGCGUCCGUAGCUUGCUGGGUAAGUCCAUUGGGAAAUCGACCAGCUCAACUGGUCGGCGUCCGGUGGAAACUACACAGCUUGGGGCCGAAAGACUCGACGGGUACGUCCGGGGUAGGAGUGAAAUCCUGUAAUCCUGGACGGACCACCAAUGGGGAAACCACGUUGAGAGACCGGACCCGACAGUGAGGGACGAAAGCCAGGGUCUCGAACCGGAUUAGAUACCCGGGUAGUCCUGGCUGUAAACAAUGCUCGCUAGGUAUGUCACACGCCAUGAGCACGUGAUGUGCCGUAGUGAAGACGAUAAGCGAGCCGCCUGGGAAGUACGUCCGCAAGGAUGAAACUUAAAGGAAUUGGCGGGGGAGCACCACAACCGGAGGAGCCUGCGGUUUAAUUGGACUCAACGCCGGACAUCUCACCGGUCCCGACAGUAGUAAUGACGGUCAGGUUGACGACUUUACCCGACGCUACUGAGA